CUGUUCCCAUUCCGAACACAGAAGUUAAGCUCUCUAGCGCUGAUGGUACUUGGUGGGAAACUGCCUGGGAGAGUAGGACGUAGCCACGU
rnacentral:rRNA from 2 species